GAUGAACGCUGGCGGCGUGCCUAAUACAUGCAAGUCGAGCGAACGGACGAGAAGCUUGCUUCUCUGAUGUUAGCCGCGGACGGGUGUGUAACACGUGGAUAACCCACCUAUAAGACUGGGAUAACUUCGGGAAACCGUAGCUAAUACCGGAUAAUAUUUUGAACCGCAUUGUUCAAAAGUGAAAGACGGUCUUGCUGUAACUUAUAGAUGGAUCCGCGCUGCAUUAGCUAGUUUGUAAGGUAACGGCCUACCAAGGCAACGAUGCAUAGCCGACCUGAGAGGGUGAUAGCCCACACUGGAACUGAGACACGGUCCAGCCUCCUACGGGAGGCAGCAGUAGGGAAUCUUCCGCAAUAGGCGAAAGCCUGACGGAACGAGGCGACGUGAGUGAUGAAGGUCUUCGGAUCGUAAAACUCUGUUAUUAGGGAAGAACAUUUGUAUAAGUAGCUGUGCACAUCUUGACGGUACCUAAUCAGGAAGCCACGGCUAACUACGUG
rnacentral:rRNA from 1 species